UUCCGAUUAGUCUAGUAGUUAGGAUAUCGGCUUGUUAUCAAAGGACCUUGAGUUCUGACAUUCGCCGGGGACCGGGGUUCAAUUCCCUAAUUGGAAG
rfam:Verticillium longisporum isolate VL1 genome assembly, contig: scaffold_181